rnacentral:misc_RNA from 1 species
UUGAUUGCGAAUCGUUACCUUCCGUGCUGGCCGGCUUCGGCAAGUGCACGUCGGUGACUUUCAUCCAAUACCCUGUGCACCUUUGGCCUCUUGCUAGCUUCGGCCGGCAGAGGAUUUUACAUAAACUCGAAUGUAAUGAAAUUUACUGUCGUGCGCAAGCACUAAUGUA